rnacentral:rRNA from 1 species
AGCGAACGCUGGCGGCAGGCCUAACACAUGCAAGUCGAACGAACUCUUCGGAGUUAGUGGCGGACGGGUGAGUAACACGUGGGAACGUGCCUUUAGGUUCGGAAUAACUCAGGGAAACUUGUGCUAAUACCGAAUGUGCCCUUCGGGGGAAAGAUUUAUCGCCUUUAGAGCGGCCCGCGUCUGAUUAGCUAGUUGGUGAGGUUAAGGCUCACCAAGGCGACGAUCAGUAGCUGGUCUGAGAGGAUGAUCAGCCACAUUGGGACUGAGACACGGCCCAAACUCCUACGGGAGGCAGCAGUGGGGAAUCUUGCGCAAUGGGCGAAAGCCUGACGCAGCCAUGCCGCGUGAAUGAUGAAGGUCUUAGGAUUGUAAAAUUCUUUCACCGGGGACGAUAAUGACGGUACCCGGUGAAGAAGCCCCGGCUAACUUCGUGCCAGCAGCAGCCGCCG